GUGAUAAAGGUCUCAUAUAGGCUUCUAGCCUUUGUUUUGUUAAUGUUCAAAUCCAAGACUAUGUUCUUUUUUCGGCAGUUGGCUAUCCAUACAGCCAAAGCAGAUUCCAUAUGGAUGAUUGUUUUAUUACAAGCCAUAACCACUCUCUUCGCCAACUUGUGAAAGGUGAUGAUAGCUGUCUUCCUAAUGUUCACCUCUUCCUUCUUGAUGUAGCGAACAGUGGAUUCGUUCAUGCCAUAUUGGCAGGCCACAGCCACGAACGUUCUCCUUUCCUUCAACAUAUCCAGAAGUUUCACCUUCUCAGCGAUUGUCAUCAUUCUUC
rnacentral:lncRNA from 1 species